rnacentral:rRNA from 2 species
GGUUUAGUGAGACCUUCGGAUUGGAGUCCUCGGUGGCGGCGACGCUGCCUUGGACAUCCGAGAAGUUGGGCUAACUAAAUUAUUUAGAGGAAGUAAAAGUCGUAACAAGGUUUCCGUAGGU